UACGGGGGGGGCAAGCGUUGUUCGGAAUUACUGGGCGUAAAGGGCUCGUAGGCGGCCAACUAAGUCAGACGUGAAAUCCCUCGGCCCAACCGAGGAACUGCGCCCGAGACUGCUUCUCUUGAGUCCCGGAGAGGAAGGUGGAAUUCCCGGUGUAGCGGUGAAAUGUGUAGAGAUCGGGAGGAACACCGGUGGCGAAGGCGGCCUUCUGGACGGUGACUGACGCUGAGGCGCGAAAGCGUGGGGAGCAAACGGG
rnacentral:rRNA from 1 species